GCUCUCUCUCUCUCUCUCUCUCUCUCUCUCUAAAUCUUUUAUCUUUUCUCUCUCUACCUUAGAGAGGGCAAAUGAACAAAGGGGGAGGGCCAAAGCCAUCUUCAAGUACCAAAUCAGCUUGCAAGCUUCGUUCUUUGAUUUCGACCAACCACCUAAUGUCCUCACUCCCUCUCUGUCUUCCAUUAAUGGUUUAGGUUUGCUUUUCUUUCUUGCAUCUCUCUCUCUCUCUCUCUCUCUUGUUUGCUCACCCUCUUGCGCUUGGUAGCUUGUGCUGCCUUUGGGAGGUUAUGGGCCCUAUUCUCCACUCAGCAUUUCAAUGGUGAUUUAGGCGGUCUCUUGUCUCCUCUUUCUUCGCUGCUUUUUGUUACUUAUUUUCUUCUUGUCUCGCAUUUGUGGUUGUGUUCUUCAAGGUUUGGGUUUCUGUUUCUGUUUCUGUUUCUUUCCCAAUCUGAGAAAUUGGUGUUCGGAGAGGGUUCUGUCUCAUCUUUUUUAUUUUGGACAUGGGUUUUGAGGAUUGAAGGACUUGUCAAACUUGGGUUUGUACUUUGAUCAGUCUCUGAAGUGGACCGUACUUGUGAUUCUUGAAUUAGGGUUUUUUGUUUUCUUAGUGCUUGAGAUGGGAUUUGGAUUGUCCUGAAAUGGUUGUUCCCAGUGGAGAAUCACGGUAUGCUCGUGAAGAAUCUGAACACAGAAUCCAUCUGAACGUGAUGGUGAUCAGAGUGCUGGGUAAUUGAACUUUGAGGUGGGUUUUGAAGUUGGUUGGAUUUUAAGAAAUGGAGAGGAUGAUUCAGCCGCCUCUGGUUGAUACCACCGCAUGUUUAUGUAGAGUAGAUGCGGGCCUCAAAACUGUUACUGGAGCGAAGAAAUAUGUUCCUGGCACGAGGCUAUGUCUUCAGCCUAGGAUCAAGCCAUCGAUUCAUCCAACUGGGCAAAAGCCAGCACGGGGUGACAGAAACCGGAACCAAUCCCCUCUGCUUCCAGGACUCCCUGAUGAUCUGGCUGUCGCUUGCUUAAUACGAGUCCCGAGAAUUGAGCAUUGCAAGCUCCGCUUAGUCUGCAAAAGAUGGUACCGUCUUUUGGUUGGUAAUUUCUUCUACUCACUCCGCAAGAGUCUUGGAAUAGCAGAAGAAUGGAUAUACGUUAUGAAGAGAGAGCGAGAUGGAAAAAUCUCAUGGCAUGCUUUUGAUCCCAUUUACCAGCUUUUGCAGCCUCUCCCUCCUGUCCCAAAAGAGUAUUCUGAAGCCCUAGGGUUUGGAUGUGCUGUUAUCAGUAGUUGUCACCUUUAUUUAUUCGGGGGCAAAGACCCUAUCAAGGGAUCCAUGAGACGAGUAAUUUUCUAUAGUGCACGAACUAAUAAAUGGCACCGUGCUCCAGACAUGCUUAGAAGGCGUCACUUCUUUGGUUUUUGUGUCAUAAACAACUGUUUGUAUGUUGCGGGCGGUGAGAAUGAGGGCAUCCAGCGGUCCUUGAGAUCAGCCGAAGUUUAUGAUCCAAACAAGAAUAGGUGGUCCUUCAUUUCUGAUAUGAGCACGGCAAUGGUGCCCUUCACUGGGGUCGUGUACGAGGGCAAGUGGUUCUUGAAGGGCACAGGGUCUCGCAGGCAGGUCUUGAGCGAGGUCUACCAACCUGAAACUGAUAGUUGGUGCCCUGUUUACGAUGGAAUGGUUGCUGGCUGGAGAAACCCAAGCACUUCCCUGAACGGGCAUCUCUAUGCUUUGGACUGUAAAGAUGGAUGCAAACUAAGAGUUUAUGAUGAAAAGACUGACUCUUGGAGCAAGCAUAUCGACAGUAAGAUGCAUUUGGGGAACUCUAAGGCUUUGGAAGCAGCAGCACUUGUCCCGCUCAAUGGAAAACUCUGUAUUAUCCGCAACAAUAUGAGCAUAUCUCUAGUCGAUGUAUCUAAAUCUCAAUCUGAGGAUCCAAGGAGUGGCAUUGCUGAACAUCUGUGGGAAACCAUCUCUGGGAAGGGGCAGUUCAAGACCCUGGUCACCAACUUCUUGUCGAGCCUUGCUGGUAGGAACCGCCCCAGAAGUCACAUUAUACACUGUCAGGUUCUUCUAGCUUGAAAGACAAUGGCAUAGAUAAAAAAAGGCCAACAGACGGUCAGAAACCUGCCCAGGCGACUGGAUCGCUGGGAUGAACAACUCAAGGUCGAAAAGCAUAUUGUCUGAACCAACAAAGCUCUUGUGGAUGCCUUCCUAUUCCUGCAUUUUGUGUUCCAUUGAAACAUCUUGAUAAUCAGGUUCAUUGCUUGAGGACCUUAACUUGGGGCUGUUUAAGGCAAAUUUGGCAGAAGG